GGGGACUCUGGUAUCCUUGGAAAAUAAACGCAAACAGCUUAUGGGAGCUCAGAAAUGUCUUUCGAGCAGUCAGAAAAACUAACAUCACCUAGCAACUUCUGCAAAACAUUUUCUGGCAACAUGCAUUACAAAAUAAAAUAGAAUAUAUACUUUUA